CCCCGCGCGCACGGCUGGACUUUUAACCGUUUGGAAAGAGCAGAAGUAAAGCCGGUGCGACGGGGUGGGGGGGACCAGGCAGAGAGGAGAAGCUGUGAGGAGGAGCAGGAGGAAGGAGGGAGAGGAGCCAGAGAAUCGAGGUGUCCAUUUGCUGCUGGAGACCUUCGACUGGCAACGUGGAUCGAAAUAGACGGCCCCUGUUUGUUUUCAACGCUGCCGACAUUCCUCGUUCUUCUUCUUUCCAUCGAGUAAAACGGUUGAUCUUUGUUUGCGUUGUGCUGCUGCUUUAAAGGGACGUUUAAGGAUUCAAUAAGACGGGGGCGCUCGAACGGCUUCGCACCCGUGCCGAGAAUACAAAGUCAGGCAGAUAUUUUUUAUUUUUUAUUCAUCUCUCAAUCCUGAAGAUAAGAGGCCUUUUACAGGGAUUGUGAGUAGAUUGAACUUCAUUAGAAAUUAACCAGACCACAUUCAUAACCAAUAACAACUCUUUAAUGACAAAGAUCUACUAGGUUCUGCUUACAUGCUGACGGCACUUACACUUAAAAAGCAAAGAGGCGCAGAGAUGGUUAUUAAAUAAAGAUGGAUUGUGUUUCUGGGA